UACGGAGGUUGCAAGCGUUAUCCGGAUUUAUUGGGUUUAAAGGGUGCGUAGGCGGGAUAAUAAGUCAGUGGUGAAAUCCUGUCGCUUAACGAUAGAACUGCCAUUGAUACUGUUAUUCUUGAGUAUAGUUGAGGUGGGCGGAAUGUGUAAUGUAGCGGUGAAAUGCUUAGAUAUUACACAGAACACCGAUUGCGUAGGCAGCUCACUAAACUACAACUGACGCUGAGGCACGAAAGCGUGGGGAGCAAACAGG
rnacentral:rRNA from 1 species